rnacentral:RNase_P_RNA from 1 species
GGAGCAGGCCAGACCGCCGCUGGUGCAACCCGGGUGGCGGCGCGCGAGCGCCGGGCCGAAAGGCCGCACUGGAGGAAGGUCCGGACUGCACAGGGCAGCGUAGGAGCUAACGGCUCUCCGCCGCGAGGCGAGGAUCAGAGCAACAGAGACGAGUCGGGGUGGUCCCGCUCGGGGUGUUCUGCGAGGGGCCGGCGCAAGCCGGCCACCGGGUGGCGAGAGCCGCCCGGCCGCGGCGAGAGCCGCGGGCCGAGCAGCCACCCGGAGCGGCUUCGCCGCUCCGGGUGAAACGGGCAAUCUCUACGCGCAGCAACACCCCAUAGGCACGCGACGAGCGGCGCGGCAGCGUCCGCGCUCAACAGAACCCCGGCCCGGGGCGAGCGUGCGGGUAGGUGGCACCGAGCCGCGCAGCGAUGCGUGGCCCAGACGAAUGGCGGUCACGGCGCGGCGCCCGCAAGGGCGCUUCGCCGCACAGAAUCCGGCCUAUCGGCUUGCUUCACAC